CCACCUAUCUUCCCUAACCCCUCUCACGAACUCCUCAUCUCACACGCUAGAUCUCCAUCCAACUCCUCUCACGCCCUCUCCUUCCAACCCCUCUCCCCGAACCUCUCCUCCGAACUCCUCUCCGUCAAGACCGCGGGCAAAAUUUCCUCACCUUAUUCCUUCACCUCUUUGUCAAAUAGCAAAUGCCCUAAUCUCUUCGCCUCCGUCGACUCAUUCACGCUUCCUUCAGACUACUCUUCUUAGAGAAAUCACCUUUAUAGGCGGAUCCUGAGUCCGAAGCCGAGAUUUUCGUUAGGAUUUUGAUUUUUUCCCCCUUUUUGGUCUUUCCUUCGUUCGUUUGGUCUACUUGCUGUCAGUUUGUUUGUCGAAUGCCCUAGCACAUGUUGUCGCUUUAUUAGAUUUCAGUUCAUGGAUUUUGCAUUACCUUUUGUUUUGUGUGAAGGGGCGGCUAACCACUUAGGAGCUUGGUGGCGGUGAUCUGCGAAGCAAAUUGGAAGGUUGAGGUUGCGAGAUGGACCGCCGCAGUUGGAUCUAGACAUGAAAGUCAUCGGAAAAGGGCGGCAGUGAGACCUAGAGCUCGGAUUCGAUAUCUCAGAGAGGUACUCCGGUGAACAGACCAAGCAUGCAUCAAAGAAACAAUCUUUUUUAGGAGAAAAAAGAAAGAGACGAAGCUCAAUUUAUCCAGACAAGAAGAUUGAGUUACAAUUGAUUCCAGAUCUAUUUAUGUUGGAAAUCUUCCUUCAUCUAUCUCGACUUCAGACCUUGAGCAAGUCUUUAAGAAUUUUGGUAAAUUAAGAUCAGAUGGUGUUUUUAUUAGAAGCCGGAAGGAGUCUGAUGUUUUUUAUGCUUUCAUUGAAUAUCAAGAUGCCAUUGGUGUACAAAAUGCACUUAAGGCAUCUCCAAUACAGUUAAAUGGGAGAUUGAUUCAUGUCGAGGGGAGAAGACCUAAUAGCGGUGUAUCACGAGGAAAUACACAGUGGUAGGUGUUUUGUCCCAGUCUCAAGCCGACAAUCUUUUUGAUCAAUAUAUCUAGUAGAAGUAAGCAUGCAGAUCGUUGUCUUCGAGGUCGGCUAGAUAUUUUGUGCUUUUUUGUUUUAAAUUCGAAUGUCACUAUCUACUUUGAAAUAGAACUAUUUAGUCUUUGUGUAUAGUUGAAUUCUCCUGUAAAUACUAAUACUUUGUAGUUGAA